rnacentral:rRNA from 1 species
UCGCCUCACCGCGAGUACUGGUCCGGCUGGACCUUUCCUUCUGGGGAACCUCAUGGCCUUCACUGGCUGUGGGGGGAACCAGGACUUUUACUGUGAAAAAAUUAGAGUGUUCAAAGCAGGCCUUUGCUCGGAUACAUUAGCAUGGAAUAAUAGAAUAGGACGUGCGGUUCUAUUUUGUUGGUUUCUAGGACCGCCGUAAUGAUUAAUAGGGAUAGUCGGGGGCGUCAGUAUUCAGCUGUCAGAGGUGAAAUUCUUGGAUUUGCUGAAGACUAACUACUGCGAAAGCAUUCGCCAAGGAUGUUUUCAUUAAUCAGGGAACGAAAGUUAGGGGAUCGAAGACGAUCAGAUACCGUCGUAGUCUUAACCAUAAACUAUGCCGACUAGGGAUCGGGCGGCGUUUCUAUUAUGACCCGCUCGGCACCUUACGAGAAAUCAAAGUUUUUGGGUUCUGGGGGGAGUAUGGUCGCAAGGCUGAAACUUAAAGAAAUUGACGA